CCCUUAGAUGUUCUGGGCCGCACGCGUGCUACACUGAGUGGAUCAGCGGGUCAGGUUGCGCGAAAGCGUUUCCUAAUCUUUAAAUCCGCUCGUGAUGGGGAUUGACGGUUGCAAUUUUCUGUCAUGAACGAGGAAUACCUUGUAAGCGCGGGUCAUCAUCCCGCGCUGAAUACGUCCCUGCCCUUUGUACACACCGCCCGUCGCUCCUACCGAUUGAGUGGUCCGGUGAGACUUUGGGAUCUGAGCGGAAAGAGCGUUUCGCUGUUUCUGCUCGGAAAACUCAGUCGAACCUUAUCAUUUAGAGGAAGGAGAAGUCGUAACA
rnacentral:rRNA from 1 species